GCCGCCUCCUCCAGCGUCGCGAACUCUGGCCUCUCUGGCCAGAUCACCGAAAAGUUGACCCGCACCAACUUCAUCCUGUGGCGCACGCAGAUCACGCCACAGCUCCGAGGUGCGGGCUUCUUCGGCUACGUCGACGGCAGCAUGCCGGAGCCGGCCAAAGUCAUCGUCAUGAAGGACAAGGACGGGAAGGAGGAGUCUACACCGAACCCCCUUCAUCCGAUCUGGAUCCGUGAAGAUCAGCAGGUACUAGGAUACCUUCUGAAUAAUCUCUCCAAAGAGGUACUUGUGCAGGUCACAUCGAUCGGCCAUGCCCAUGAUCUCUGGACAGCGCUGUCGAGCAUGUUCUCG
rnacentral:rRNA from 1 species